CGGGUAGAGAGAGAAAGAGAGAGAGAGAGAGAGAAAGAGAGAGAGAGUAUUAUUUGAAAAUAGAAUUUAAAUUUUUAAAAUUUAAAAUUUGUAAUCUGAAAAUUAAAAUUUAAAAUUCUAAAUUUUAAAGUUUAAAUUUCAUAUUUUAAAUUUUAAAAUUUUAAAUUUAAUAUUUUAUAUAUUUCAAAUUUAAAGUUGGUCAUAAAUUUAAAUUUUAAAAUUUAAAUUUUAAAAUUUGAAUAUUUAAAUUUUAAAAUUUAAAUUUUAAAUUUUAAAAUUUAUAAAUUAAAAUUUAAAAUUUAAAAUUANUUACAAGUUUAAAAUUUAAAAAUUUAAAUUCAAAUAUAAUGAGAGGGGUAAUAUCAUUAUUUUCUAUUUAUAACUAUCAACUAUUCUUCUUAUUCCAUCUUUUCUAUCCAAACGCUAUUUUUCUUAUUUCCGGAAACAACCAAAUUUUCAUCCAAAUACAAAAUUGGUCUAGUUCUCGCUUAUACCUAAACUUGUACCUAUCCCUGGUAUAAGCUAGUUCUUACUUAUAUCCGAACCAAACGAAGCCUUAGAAAACAACCAUCUAUUCCAAUGAUAGGUCUACAUCCUUCCUUUAAUCCCUUGAUUUGAGCAUCAUAUGAAACAAAGAUUCGUUGAAACAUAGGGGCUAACUCAGGAUGAGACCUUUCCAUAUAUAAAAAAGCAAGGCUUCCUGGAUUCCUCACCUUGAUUAUAUUGCAAUAAUCCUAUAUUUCAU
rnacentral:lncRNA from 1 species